rnacentral:rRNA from 1 species
GAUGAACGCUGGCGGCGUGCUUAACACAUGCAAGUCGAACGGAAAGGCACAAGCUUGCUUGGGUACUCGAGUGGCGAACGGGUGAGUAACACGUGGGUGAUCUGACCUGCACUUCGGGAUAAGCCUGGGAAACUGGGUCUAAUACCGGAUAGGACGCUGGUUUGGAUGCCAUUGUGGAGAGUUUUUUCGGUGUGGGAUGUGCUCGCGGCCGAUCAGCUUGUUGGUGGGGUAAUGGCCUACCAAGUCGUCGACGGGUAGCCGGCCUGAGAGGGUGUACGGCCAGAUUAGGACCGAGAUACGGCCCAGACUCGUACGGGAGGCAGAAGGGGGGAAUAUUGCACAAUGGGCGCAAGCCUGAUGCAGCGACGCCGCGUGGGUGAUGACGGCCUUCGUGUUGUAAGCUCCGUUCGCUAGGGACGAAGCGUUUUUGUGACGGUACCUGGAGAAGAAGCACCGGCUAACUACGUG